rnacentral:misc_RNA from 1 species
UGAGAAUCAGCUUGAUGACCUGGAGCCAGAAGAGGCAGUGGCGAUCAUGUCUUCCUUUGUGUUUCAGCAAAAGGAGACUUCUGAAUCUUUCCUCACGCCAAAGCUUUCUCAGGCUAAAAAGAGAUUACAUGAAACUGCAAUAAGACUUGGGGAGCUUCAGGCUCAGUUUAAGCUGCCGAUUGACCCAAAGGAGUAUGCCCAAGAGAACCUUAAGUUUGGUUUGGUUGAAGUGGUAUAUGAAUGGGCAAAGGGGACCCCAUUUGCUGAGAUAUGUGAACUCACAGAUGUCCCUGAAGGUGUUAUAGUGAGGACUAUUGUUAGAUUAGACGAGACUUGUCGUGAAUUUAGAAAUGCUGCUGCAAUUAUGGGCAACUCUGCACUGUACAAGAAAAUGGAAACUGCAUCUAAUGUGAUCAAGCGCGAUAUCGUGUUUGCAGCUAGCUUAUAUAUUACCGGAGUUUGAUUAGGUCCGGAAGCCUUGAUUUCAUUUGCAAUUCUAAAGGACCUGACGAUACACAUGUUGUACACUAGAAUAUGUUCGCCAAGGUGUGGACUUUGAGCAAGGCUACCCUACAAUUUGGCUAAUUUGUACAGAAAUUCAAGUCUUUCAAAUGUACAUUUAGCAAUCGACAGUAGAUUACACCAUGAUUAGCACAGAGAGA